GAUGAACGCUGGCGGCGUGCCUAAUACAUGCAAGUCGAGCGAACAGACGAGGAGCUUGCUCCUCUGACGUUAGCGGCGGACGGGUGAGUAACACGUGGAUAACCUACCUAUAAGUCUGGGAUAACUUCGGGAAACCGGAGCUAAUACCGGAUAAUAUAUUGAACCGCAUGGUUCAAUAGUGAAAGACGGCUUUGCUGUCACUUAUAGAUGGAUCCGCGCCGCAUUAGCUAGUUGGUAAGGUAACGGCUUACCAAGGCAACGAUGCGUAGCCGACCUGAGAGGGUGGUCGGCCACACUGGAAGUGGGACGCGGUCCAGACUCCUGCGGGAGGCAGCAGUAGGGAAUCUUCCGCAGUAGGCGAAAGCCUGACAGAACAACGCCGCGUGAGUGAUGAAGGUCUUCGGAUCGUAAAACUCUGUUAUUAGGGAAGAACAAAUGUGUAAGUAACUAUGCACGUCUUGACGGUACCUAAUCAGAAAGCCACGGCUAACUACGUG
rnacentral:rRNA from 1 species